AUUUCCUACUUGGUCCUGUUCGUGGCGCCGCGCCUCCGGGUGUUGGGGAGUCCGGGAUGAUGGGGAAUCCGGGGCUCGCCCUAGUCGCGGGGACACCGCCUUCCAGGAGCUGUCCCCAGGCAAACUCACAGACAUCUUCAAAGAGCCUUCUUGGACAUUCUGCUUUUUGCUCCUCAUAACAGGCUUCGGUGGAGUUUCUCUCUUAUUUUCCAGGCUGCAGUACAGUGGCGUGAUCUCGGCUCACUGCAACCUCCACCUCCCAGGUUCAAGCGAUUCUCCUGUCUUAGCCUCACGAGUAGCCGGGAUUACAGGCACAUGCCCCCAUUCCCAGCUAAUUUUUGUAUUUUUAGUAGUGACGGGGUUUCAUCAUAUUGGUCAGGCUGGUCUCAAACUCCUGACCUCAGGUGAUCCGCCUCGGCCUCCCAAAGUGUUGGGAUUACAGGCGUGAGCCACCCACUGUAUCUCUUGUUCGGAGGAAUAUCUAAUCAAGAAAAUCAUUUUUACUGUUUUUAUUUUUUGGUUUGUUCGUUUUUUUCCUGUGAGAUGGAGUUUCACUCUUGUUGCCCAUCCUGGUGUACAAUGGCGCGAUCUCGGCUCACUUCAACCUCCGCCUCCCAGUGCGUCCGGAAUUGGUGGGUUCUUGGUCUCACUGACUUCAAGAAUGAAGCUGCGCACCCUCACGGUGAGUGUUACAGUUCUUAAAGGCGGCGUGUCCGGAGUUUGUUCCUUCUGAUGUUCAGAUGCGUUCGGAGUUUCUUCCUUCUGGUGGGUUCAUGGUCUCGCUGGCUUCAGGAGUGAAGCUGCAGACCUUCGUGGUGAGUGUUACAGCUGUUAAGGUGGCGCGUCUGGAGUUGUUCGUUCCUUCCGGUGGGUUCGUGGUCUCGCUAGCUUCAGGAGUGAAGCUUCAGACCUU
rnacentral:lncRNA from 1 species